ACAAAACAAAAACCCUAAAACAACAGAACAGCGGCUCCAUCAAUCUUCAACUCGGAGUCACAGAAACAGAGAGAAACUCACAAAAUUCGAUAUCAAGCUUCUUCACACUGAACCAGAAGUAUCAAUUCAUCAAUGGCGAAGAGAAAGGAAAGGAUUCAGAAUCCAGAACCAUUUGUUCCAGAUGGUACUGAAUAUGCCAAAACCAAGAAAAGUUCCAAAGCUGCUAAAAAGCAUCAAAAGGAAGGUGAACUCAUUGAUUCUCAUAUCAGUUCAAAGAUUAUGAAGGAGGCUUUGAUUCAACUCAAGGAAGUUGAAGAUGAAGAACAAGCUAAGGAGGAAAAUGUUGCUAGAAGUUCGUUCCAACGUAUUGAAGAGGUUCCUAAUGUUGUUGAAGAUAAUGAUGGUGAUAUUGAUGAUUUUUGUGGAUUUGGUGAAAUGGAAGUCCAAUUUAAUGAAAUGAAAUUUGGUGAUGAUGAUGUUGAAAAGCAAAACCAAUUUGGUGAUGUUGAUAAAAUUAGUAAGGAGGAAGAGGAACUAUUGGAAACAUUCUUUUCCAAGGACCCGAAGGUCGAUAAAACAUUUACAGACAUCAUGAUUAAAAGAUUAAAAGAAAGUGAUGUUACUGUUGCCUCAGAGGAUCGACCAAUGCCUAAUAUGGAUAAACCAAUACUUGAUCUAUACAAGGGGGUUGCAAAACUUCUCAGCAGAUAUACAGUAGGCAAAAUUCCCAAGGCAUUGAAACACAUCCCCUCAUUGCAAAACUGGGAGGAGGUCUUAUAUGUUACUGAACCUGAAAAUUGGUCUCCAAAUGCCCUGUAUCAAGCUACUAGGAUUUUUGCUUCUAAUUUUGGUGCCAAAAAAGCUGAGCGCUUCUACAAGCUUGUGUUGCUUCCAAGAGUUAGAGAAGACAUACGAAAGAACAAACGGCUGCAUUUUGCUUUAUACCAAACACUGAAAAAGGCAUUGUACAAACCUGCUGCUUUCUUUAAGGGAAUACUGUUUCCUCUAUGUGAGUCACAGACAUGCACUCUCAGGGAAGCAGUCAUUGUUGGAAGCAUUAUAGAAAAGGUUUCUAUUCCUCCACUCCAUUCAAGUGUUGCGCUGUUGAAGCUUGCUGGGAUGAAUUAUUGCGGCACUACAAGCUAUUUCAUAAAGCUUUUGGUGGAGAAGAAAUAUGCUUUGCCGUAUCGUGUGGUUGAUGCAGUUGUUGCUCAUUUCAUGAGAUUUGAAAAUGAAACUAGGACAAUGCCUGUUAUAUGGCACCAAUCACUUCUUGCAUUUGUGCAGAGGUACAAAAAUGAACUGCAGAAGGAAGAUAAGGAUAAUUUAAUGAUUCUUCUGGACAAGCAAAAUCAUAAAUUAGUUACACCUGAAAUAAGUAGAGAGCUAAACCACAGCCGUAACCGAGGUGAAAAGGAGGACGAUCUCGAUUCAAUAUAUAUCCUUUUCUUUAAUUUUUUGCCCUCCCUUUCCCUAUUUUGCUUUCAUAAGGUUAGAUACGAAUGCCAUUGCAUGUUUAGUGUCCCUCGAGCAAGGUUCAGGGCAGGUUUAAGGUGAAAAAUUAGAGCUGAAAGUAAGCUUCUUAAUGUUGGGAUAGCGAAAAAUAAGAAUUCAGAUUUUACAUAAAUAAUUAAUAAUACAGAAAGUCUUUGGAUUGCUACACAAAUAUCCAGCUGAGCAUGAAAUUUUGCAAUAAAAAAACACAGGAUCCCCUGUUCCUCUGUAGAUGUUCUGUAGUUUUUGCUGCCAGCAUUUCAGCCUUGGCAAUACAAUCUGGACAACCUUCCUUGAAGCAUAAAUUUCAAAGAAAAUACGCAGAUACUGAAGUAAUUAAUAUUUGAUAUAACGACUCUGGAAACAUAAAUGAUCAAAGAUCAUUUCUCCUUUCUAUUUUUUUUAAUUCGAAUUUCUAUAAGUAAUGACAUUAUUUGAGUUAAGAAAAUGCAUGUGAAAAUCUCUAUUGUUACUGCAAUUGGCAUGUCUGUCUAGUGGUUGUCCAUUUUGAAGGGCUUUCUUGAUCCAUACUAAACAUCUUUUGAAACAUAGCAUGUGUCUAAUUCUAACUUAUGUGGAACCAGCCAUAUUAAGAAUAUAAGAAAAUGUGUUGCCGACUCUUUCCUUGACAGACUAAUACCCGGUCCAGCAACUGUGAUUAACAAGACUAUUGAAGAAGAUAGAUUUGACAUUCCAGACGUACCAAUGGAGAUGGACUAAUUUAUCGAGGUUUUUCCCUUUUGGAGAAAAUGUACACAACCUCAUCUUCUUACUGCUGGUAGUCUCUCCACAAUUUUGUACUUGGAUGCACGUGAAUUAUUGGAUUUGCAUGCUUUAUGUUAUUGUUUUGGGCGAAUUUUCGACUACUGCAUUUUUUGCUUCUGUUUCUUUUCGUUGUAUUCUUACUAUCAGGGUAGUCUAGUAUAAUCAAAAUUAUUACAACACAUCAUAUGAUAUAGCAUUCUUCUUCUACUCUUGGUGUGGAUUAUAUUUAUUUUCUAGAGUAAUCGGACAUUGUAUUACUACUAAUACUAUUACUCAAUAACAUUAGAGAGCUUGUUCAA